rnacentral:rRNA from 1 species
CAGUAGCCACGGUAAUACGUAGGGGGCGAGCGUUGUCCGAAGUUACUGGGCGUAAAGAGCGCGUAGGCUGGUCUUUAAGUGAGUGGUGAAAGGUUCGGGCUCAACCCGGACACUGCCUUUCAUACUGGGGACCUUGAGUGUGGGAGAGGCGAGUGGAAUGGUCGGUGUAGCGGUGAAAUGCGUAGAUAUCGAUCGGAACACCCAUGGCGAAGGCAGCUCGCUGGCCUAACACUGACGCUGAGGCGCGAAAGCGUGGGGAGCAAACAGGAUUAGAUACCCCCGUAGUCCCUGUCUCUUAUAA